UUCAGGAUUAAUUUAAGUAUUGCGAUACUUUAUACUGAUAAUCUAAUGUUCUACUAACGUUCUAAAUUAUUCUAAAUUAAACCAUCCCACUCUACCGGGUACCAAAUCCCCUCCGGACCGUAGCAAAAACAGGUUACAUGGCAAAUAUAAAUCAAGUAAGCUAGAAAUAGCAGGCAUGAACUUAGACGUCAUUAAACCAAGAAGAGAGAGGGAGAGAAAGACUGCAUUAUUCAUCAAAAGAAAUGUUUUUUCCUGCUCCAAUUUAGGUACAUACUGUACUCCUGCUACAUGCAACAUUCUAACAAGAGCUGUAGAAAAUUGUAAGCAUAUGGAGCAUAUGUUAACAUAUUUUUAUUAAAAGCCAAUCAAUAUAAUGCGCGUUUACUCUUUAAAACCCAGUAUAACUGGUUGAUUCCAUUUAUUAUCCCAGAAGUAUAACCCGUAACAUGAGGUUCUUGAUAACAAUAUCCCUUUUUACACUCGUGGGCAAGUCAAAUUAGUACAAUUAUGCUAAUAACAGUAGCUAAAAACCUUUUAAUUUUUUUUAGUUUUUGCAGGUUUAAUAGGAUUCGUGUCUGCCAAGCCACCAUUGGAAGAUAUUGAGGUGUAUGAAAAGUUAUGCAUUACAUAUGGAUUUGAGAAGGAUUGUUGGAUAACUGUUCGUCCUCCAACUACAAAAUCGUCGGCUCAAUGAUGUGGUGAUAAGUUAUUGCAAAAUUCAAUGUUGUGAAACUAUGGUCUGGUAAUAAAUCCAUGAAAGCGAAA